GCAGUGGGGAAUCUUGCGCAAUGGGCGAAAGCCUGACGCAGCCAUGCCGCGUGAAUGAUGAAGGUCUUAGGAUUGUAAAAUUCUUUCACCGGGGACGAUAAUGACGGUACCCGGAGAAGAAGCCCCGGCUAACUUCGUGCCAGCAGCCGCGGUAAUACGAAGGGGGCUAGCGUUGCUCGGAAUUACUGGGCGUAAAGGGAGCGUAGGCGGACAUUUAAGUCAGGGGUGAAAUCCCGGGGCUCAACCUCGGAAUUGCCUUUGAUACUGGGUGUCUUGAGUAUGAGAGAGGUGUGUGGAACUCCGAGUGUAGAGGUGAAAUUCGUAGAUAUUCGGAAGAACACCAGUGGCGAAGGCGACACACUGGCUCAUUACUGACGCUGAGGCUCGAAAGCGUGGGGAGCAAACAGGAUUAGAUACCCUGGUAGUCCACGCCGUAAACGAUGAUUGCUAGUUGUCGGGAUGCAUGCAUUUCGGUGACGCAGCUAACGCAUAAGCA
rnacentral:rRNA from 1 species